GGUAAGGUUCUCCUUUUUCACUGUGCAAGUGUCCACAGAGCCAUUCAUUUCAAUCUCAAACAUCUCUUUUAAAACAGACUCUAAUUCUGUCUUUUCUCUUGUAGAGGAGUCUGAUGGAAUAAUUGUGAUCUUGGGUGUUCUGACUGUUUUCUUCAUGAUAGCUGUCAUUGUUCUGUCUGUUAAAAACAGGAAACUUCAGAAAGCUGCUAAAGAAGAACUGCAUCCUGAAAGAAACAAGAAUGUGGGCUCUGAUGAUCUGAACUCUGCAGCUCUGAGGUUCCUUCCAAACACAAUAAGGAACAGGAGGCCUGAUCAGAGAGAGAAGUGGAGACUCAGGUUCUUUAUAGCGCCAGCAGAUAGACACAAGCAGCAAUAGGACUGUAACUCUCACUGGAACUGAUGCUCUAUAUUCAUCUGCUGCCAGAGUCAAUGGCAACAUUCUUUUAUUAAAUAAAGUUCCUAUACUCAUGGUCA